ACACACGGAGACAUCAUCAUGACUGAAUGAAGAUGAAGGUGGUUCUUCAUCUCCGAGUCAAAACAAACAGCCCUGAGAGAUCAGAUUACUUUAGAGCUCAGAGUUUGUGUUGUGAUGUCAGCAGUUUGUGUUGUGAUGUCAUCAGUUUGUGUCUCACCUGACAGUACGAAGAGGACAACGAUGAAGAUCUGAGGCGUUCGACGGCAGCGAGGCGAGACGGCGGCCAUCCUAGUCGGAGAUCAGUCAGAUAAUGAGUCGUGCUGCCACCUGCUGGUACUCACUGGAGGAUUAGACUCACUCUGUGUAAUGGAACAAGGAAAUAUUAAGUGAUCCAGAUGAUCAGCUGUGUGUGCUGCUCCAGUCUGUCUUGAAGCAGCAGUGAUGUUCGCUGUGUGACAUGAUGCUUCAUGAUGUGCUGCUCAUAUCGAUGGACGAGGUAAUCAACAAUCAGACUCUAGUAAAACUAAGUCAGUUUAAAAAAAACUUCUCAAGUCAGAGUGAGAAUCAUUCUGCGGUAACGGGUUUCAGUGUCUGAGCUGUUCUCAGGAAUCAAAAGUGAAAGCGGUGUAGUCCCUCAUUCGUCCAGGAGUUUUCCAUUGUAGAAAAGGUUUCAGUCGCAGUCAUCUGGACACUGUUUUCAGAAUCAAGACGUUUGGGAGGCCUAA